rnacentral:lncRNA from 1 species
CGCCGGGGGCUUUGGGGGGGGGCUGGGGGCGGCUCCUCCCCUGCCGUGACGUCAUUGGUGAUGUCAUUUGUGACGUCACCCCCCGCUGUGACGUCAUUUGUGACGUCAUCGUUGGGCGUGACGUCAUCGGUGACGUCAUCCCGAGCGGCGGGGGCCUCGGGGAAACAGGAAGUGACGUCAUUGGCCCCGGUGACGUCAUCAGCGAGGUCAGCAGCCGGCGGGCAGGAAGUGACGUCAUCCGUGACGUCAUCCUUGGUGAUGACGUCAUCGGUGAGGUCAUUUCCGGGCGUGACGUCAGCAGCCGGCUCCUCCCCGGGAAGGCAGGAAGUGACGUCAUCGCCCCCCAAAACGUCCCCGCCGAUGACGUCAUCGGUGAGGUCACUUCCGGGGAUGACGUCACCCCCGGAGAGGUCCCGGGACGUGACGUCAUCGCUUCCGGGGAUGAUGUCAUCGCUCCUGGAAAUGACGUCAUCACUUCCGGAAAUGAUGUCACCACUUCCGGAAAUGACGUCGUCGCUUCCUGGUAUGACGUCAUCACUUCCGGGGAUGACGUCACCCCCACAGACGUCCCCGCCGAUGACGUCACUUCCCGUGAUGACGUCACCGGUGACGUCACCCCCGGCCACCAUGGAAGUGACGUCACCUCCGGCCGCGGGGACAGCGGAGGGGCCACCCCCGCCCGUGAUGACGUCAUCGGUGACGUCAGCGGUGACGUCAGCGGUGACGUCAUCGCCGGGGACGUCCUCGUCCUCCGCCGGGGGCGCUGUCACCGUGAUGGUGAUGCCACCGGCGGCGCGCGGCCCCGUGGCCCCAAUGUCCCCAAUGUCCCCAACCCCGAUGUCCCCAACGUCCUCGAUGUCCCCAACGUCCCCGAUGUCCGGCGCGGCGGUGACAGUGAUGGUGAUGCCACCGGCCCAGGGGGUGACAGUGACGGUGGGGACGCCGGGGGUGGCCCCAUCCCCCUCGGGGACCCCCCCGGGUUGUCCCCAAGGGGGGUGGGGACGCGCUGCGGGGCCGGCGGUGACGUCCCCGGGGUGCGAGCCCCCCUCGGCCAUGGGGCGGGGACCUGGGGGGGGACACAGAGGAGGAGGGGGGCGUCAGCGGGGCACGGGGACCC